UACGGAGGGUGCGAGCGUUGUCCGGAAUCAUUGGGCGUAAAGGGCGCGUAGGUGGCCCGGUCAGUCUUUGGUGAAAGCGCGGGGCUCAACCCUGCGUCGGCCAGGGAUACUGCCGCGGCUCGAGCACUGUAGAGGCAGGCGGAAUUCCGGGUGUAGCGGUGGAAUGCGUAGAGAUCCGGAAGAACACCGGUGGCGAAGGCGGCCUGCUGGGCAGUUUAGCUGACACUGAGGCGCGACAGCGUGGGGAGCGAACAGG
rnacentral:rRNA from 1 species